AAGUGAUAUUUCGGAACAGUAUCUAGUUCCUUCUAUACCAAUGUGUUCUUACUAAUAUGAAUAUUAUUAAUAUUCAUAUUAGUAAGAACACAUUGGUAUAGAAGGAACUAGAUACUGUUCCGAAAUAUCACU